CCCGGCUCAUGCGCAAUCCCACGACAUUGAGGACAACCUGAGCAGAGCCGGACUCGGGGCGACGCGGGGCCGCGGUCCGGCCCGGCCGGACAGUACAGGACCAGGCGGAGGCCACCCUGUCCUGGCUGCGGUGCCGUCCAGGGCGGCCGGCGGCCAGAAGGGGCGGUGCCUGGGGCGCACCCCACCGCUCCCUCCCGGCGCGCAGCUCCCGGUGCUCCGCAGACCGCGCUUGGGAACGUUUGUCUCCCGCCGGCCGUCGCGGAAAGCAGGCAGCUCUUCCUGCCUCCCGGCCGGCGUCGGACUCCUCUAGGGUUCUCUGCUUUGCACCGGUGCCGGGAUGCGUGGAUCCGGGCCCAGCUGGGGCUCCCAGGGAGAGCGGGUUCCCAAAUGUUGCACUCAGCUUGUUUACUAAGAUAAAUGAAGAACUGCUGUGAAAUGUAGUCAAAGACCUCCUCUGGGACCCAGCUGUAGAAGGUACUGUUAUGACAGGGCAAAGCGAAGAACACUUCCCGGGAGAGGGACGCUCACUACAAUGAUGCCAGCUUCACCGUACAGAGAACUUAUUUAACCUUCAUCUGAGUCUAAUGUUAUUUACAGGACAAAUCAGAAGAUGCUCUUUUCAAUCUCUUAAAUGCACAUGGACAUGACCAAUCAAAGGAUGCUGUUCCUGACCUUCACUUACCUAUGGCAGGAAGCCACGGGAGCUUCCAGUAAGAAAGUUCACUUGUGGCGCAGCCCAAGUGAAUGCUGGACAAGGUGACUGUCCCAACACUUUAUUUGCAAAAGACCGAGAAAACUUGGGAUGCAGAAGUUCCCUGUGCCCCGGGUGCCGGGAGCCUGUUCACUCUCACACUUCUUUUCUACCUUCAAUAAAUGUCUGCUUUCAUGGCCUU
rnacentral:lncRNA from 1 species